rnacentral:rRNA from 1 species
GACAGAGGGUGCAAACGUUGUUCAGAAUUACUGGGCGUAAAGCGCGUGUAGGCGGCCCUGCAAGUCGGAUGUGAAAUCCCACGGCUCAACCAUGGAAGUGCAUUCGAAACUGCAGAGCUAGAGUCCUGGAGAGGAAGGUGGAAUGCUUGGUGUAGAGGUGAAAUUCGUAGAUAUCAAGCGGAACACCGGUGGCGAAGGCGGCCUUCUGGACAGUGACUGACGCUGAGACGCGAAAGCGUGGGGAGCAAACAGG